rnacentral:rRNA from 1 species
UACGAAGGGGGCUAGCGUUGUUCGGAAUCACUGGGCGUAAAGCGCACGUAGGCGGAUUGUUAAGUCAGGGGUGAAAUCCUGGAGCUCAACUCCAGAACUGCCUUUGAUACUGGCGAUCUUGAGUCCGGGAGAGGUGAGUGGAACUGCGAGUGUAGAGGUGAAAUUCGUAGAUAUUCGCAAGAACACCAGUGGCGAAGGCGGACUCACUGGCCCGGUACUGACGCUGAGGUGCGAAAGCGUGGGGAGCAAACA